rnacentral:lncRNA from 1 species
AAUUCAUCUUUCAGGUGUAGCUUUAAGAUAUUGAAGAAUCUUAUAUACUGCAUUUAGAUGCUAUACUUUCGGAUCAUGCAUAAAUUGACUAACCUAAUCGCAUAAGCAACAUCUAGCCUCAUAUGAGAUAGGUAAAUCAGUCUUCCCAUAAGUCUUUGAUAUCUGUCCUUAUCAACUGCUCCUUCCCUUUUGCAUAGCUU